rnacentral:rRNA from 1 species
CACGGAGUUAGCCGAUGCUUUUUCUCCGGGUACUCUCGAGGCGGGACGCGUCCCGCUCUUUGCUCCCCGGCAAAAGAGGUUUACAACCCGUAGGGCCGUCAUCCCUCACGCGACUUGGCUGGUUCAGCCUCUCGGCCAUUGACCAAUAUUCCUCACUGCUGCCUCCCGUAGGAGUCUGGUCCGUGUCUCAGUACCAGUGUGGGGGACCUUCCUCUCAGAACCCCUACGCAUCGUCGCCUUGGUGGGCCGUUGCCCCGCCAACUAGCUAAUGCGCCGCAUGACCAUCCGCAGCCGGAUCGCUCCUUUGAACCAACAGGGAUGCCCCCGUCGGUUGUUACGCGGUAUUAGACGGAAUUUCUUCCGCUUAUCCCCCUGCUGCGGGCAGGUUUCAUACGUGUUACUCACCCGUGCGCCGGUCGCCGGCGGAAGUGUUGCCACUCCCCCGCUCGCCCCUCGACUUGCAUGUGUUAAGCCUGUCGCUAGCGUUCAUCCUGAGCCAGGAUCAAACUCU